UAUAUAUUCCGCAAGAAUAUUAGGUUGUCCAUAAGGUUUUUCAACUCUUGUUAUAGCAAUGUUGAGUCUACGGUUCACAGAAUGAAACUCCUUUUGUACAUUCAUCUGUAAUUCUUCGAUUCCUCGUGUUCGGCCCUCUAUUAAUAAAUUAGGGAAUCCAAUAUGGAUUAUGACUUGGAUCAAAUCGAUUCUUUUUUUUAUUUGUAUACGUGCUAUUCCUUCGAAACCUGAGGACGUUCUCUUAUUUUUUUGUACAUAAUCCUUGAUACAAUUCCGUAUUUUUUCAUCUUCCUGUAUACCCGCG
rnacentral:misc_RNA from 1 species